rnacentral:piRNA from 1 species
UGAGGAGUAUAGUUGCAGGUUCUGUCU